GCAGUGGGGAGCUGUUGAGAGCAUUUUGAGUGGGGCAGUGACACUGCUGGCUCUGCAUUUUGGAAAGGUGGUUUUCAGAGCAGUUUGGAUGAUGCUGGGGAGUAGCUGACAGGUUGAAGAUCAGUCCUGAGGAGCAGAUUCAUAAUCCACUUAGGAAAAAGGAGGGGGGAUGCACGGAGUUAGCACAUAUUAAGUGCCUGCUGUAGUCAAGCCCUGUUGGACACCAGGGACAUCUGGACCUUGACAACGGAGCGAAGGGGUGGUCCUGCCUGCACCAGGUUUCAGGCUGGUCCCUGAGUGCUCCAAGGACCCAUGCAUCUGACCAUAGGGGAUGCUGGGAGUAUCCUCCAUCCUGGCCUGAAAGAGCUCCCUUUCAGCUUCCUGGAUUCAUAUCUGUGGUCCAGCCACUUUGUCACAAGCUACAUCUAUGGCGAGCAACGACUCCCGGCUGCAGGGUGAGACAGAUAAGAGGAUAAGAGGGAGCAGGAGCAGACGGAGAAAGAAGGUGGCAAGACAGAGCAG
rnacentral:lncRNA from 10 species